rnacentral:tRNA from 1 species
UCUGAGCUGGUGUAACUAAGGCAUGCAAGACUUUCAAUUUUGAGGAGGGUGAUUUUUCCUCGUUCAGAU